AAGUCGUAACAAGGUUUCCGUAGGUGAACCUGCGGAAGGAUCAUUAUGGAGAUUGGUUAGGUAACACCUUCCAAACCCUCCCAUCCCUAUGUUUACAUUAUCCUUUGUUGCUUUGGCUAUGGCCGUCUUUGGACCGCCGGCUUCGGCUGGCCAGUGCCUACCAGAGGAUCCAAAACUCUGUUUAAUUGUAUUGUCUGAGUACUAUAUAAUAGUUAAAA
rnacentral:misc_RNA from 1 species